rnacentral:rRNA from 1 species
GAUGAACGCUGGCGGCGUGCUUAACACAUGCAAGUCGAACGAUGAUCCCCAGCUUGCUGGGGGGAUUAGUGGCGAACGGGUGAGUAACACGUGAGUAACCUGCCCUUAACUCUGGGAUAAGCCUGGGAAACUGGGUCUAAUACCGGAUAUGACUCCUCAUCGCAUGGUGGGAGGUGGAAAGCUUUUGUGGUUUUGGAUGGACUCGCGGCCUAUCAGCUUGUUGGUGAGGUAAUGGCGCACCAAGGCGACGACGGGUAGCCGGCCUGGGAGGGUGACCGGCCACACUGGGACUGAGACACGGCCCAGACUCCUACGGGAGGCAGCAGUGGGGAAUAUUGCACAAUGGGCGGAAGCCUGAUGCAGCGACGCCGCGUGAGGGAUGACGGCCUUCGGGUUGUAAACCUCUUUCAGUAGGGAAGAAGCGAAAGUGACGGUACCUGCAGAAGAAGCGCCGGCUAACUACGUGCCAGCCGCCGCUGUAACAC